CCGACCUGAGAGGGUGAUCGGCCACAUUGGAACUGAGACACGGUCCAAACUCCUACGGGAGGCAGCAGUGGGGAAUAUUGCACAAUGGGCGAAAGCCUGAUGCAGCAACGCCGCGUGAGCGAUGAAGGCCUUCGGGUCGUAAAGCUCUGUCCUCAAGGAAGAUAAUGACGGUACUUGAGGAGGAAGCCCCGGCUAACUACGUGCCAGCAGCCGCGGUAAUACGUAGGGGGCUAGCGUUAUCCGGAAUUACUGGGCGUAAAGGGUGCGUAGGUGGUUUCUUAAGUCAGAGGUGAAAGGCUACGGCUCAACCGUAGUAAGCCUUUGAAACUGAGAAACUUGAGUGCAGGAGAGGAGAGUAGAAUUUCCUAGUGUAGCGGUGAAAUGCGUAGAUAUUAGGAGGAACUAGUUGCGAAGGCGGCUUUUCUGGACUGUAACUGACACUGAGGCACGAAAGCGUGGGGGAGCAAACAGGAUUA
rnacentral:rRNA from 1 species